GUUGCCUACAGUGACUAAUCUAUUUCGAUUGGCUGGGAAGAUGGGACUUGUUGGAAAAGAGUCAGCUUGGAUCAUCACCGAGAGUAUUGCAAGUCUGCUUGACCCUCAACACGCCUCUGACAUGAAAGGCACCCUGGGAAUCAAGACCUACUAUGCCAAUAAUACUAGUUCUUAUACAAAUUUCCGGAAGAAAUUCCAAACGAAGUAUUCAGAAGGAAAUAGCGCCCAGCCAGGAAUUUAUGCUCUUCGAGCAUAUGAUGCUAUUGGAACAUUUCACAGGCUAUAGGAAGAAUGACUGAUAACACAACUAGCCUUGAGGUGUUGAAAACCGUAUUGAGCAGUUAUACAGGUUUGAGCGCGAACAUGCGGUUAAACAGCGGUGAGGUACUGUACUCUCCAAUUUUCAGGAUUGUAAAUAUUUUGGAUGAGAAUAGAUUCCAAGAAUUGAACUAUUGGACACCGGAACUUGGGUUCUCAUCGGAUGAAGCAGGGGAAAACAAAUUCAGUGAUGUUGGUGGAGUAAUCUGGCCUGGGAACCUAACUAGUGCCCCGAAAGGCUGGGCAAUGCCUACUGUUGAGAAGCCAAUGAGAAUUGGGGUGCCGGGUAAAACUUCCUUCAGCAAAUUUGUGAAGGUUGACUCAGAUAAGAAGAAGUCUGUCGACGGUUUCUGCAUUGCAAUUUUUGAUUUGGUCAUAAAUCGUUUGAACUAUUUUCUGCCGUAUCAAUUCGAAGUUUUCAAUGGCUCGUACGAUCAUCUUGUGGAACAAGUCCAUAAAAAGGUAAAACCAUCAUUUAUUUUUCUAUUUUUUCAUAAAGAUGAAUUUAAAUACUGUUUCGCUCUUUCAUUGGUUUUGAUUUGACUAUAUGCUUACAGGUUUAUGAUGCUGUCGUUGGUGACAUAACCGUGCUAGCUGACCGGCUGGACAAGGUGGAAUUCACUCAGCCAUAUAUGGAGUCUGGUUUGUCAAUGAUAGUUCCGGCAGAACCCAAAAAAUCAACAUGGAUGUUUAUGAAACCUUUCACAUGGCAAAUGUGGGUGGUGACUGUUUCCAUCUUAAUCUACACAGUGUUCAUCGUAUGGUUCCUGGAGCAACCGUCAAAUCCAGAAUUUGAUGGCCCCUUGAAGAAUCAGAUUGGCACAGCAACUUGGUUCACCUUCUCCUCUUUGUUCUUUGCUCACAGUAAGUACCAAUUUUGUACAUUUCACUACCAAAAAAGUGAGUAUUAGAAGCGCUUCUUUAGAGGCGAGGGGUGGAUUGUCCCUGACAUACGCCCCUAUUUGGCUUUGUAGCGGCCAUUCUAAACGCCCCUACCACUCUUUUCUUCUUCAUAAUGUAUGAUAACCAAUGACGAUCUAAAAUUUUCAGGACAAGCCUAACUACGAAAAUAGUCGGGUCCAAAAUUGUUUGAGAAUUGAUCUUAUCCUCAUUGUAAACCUAUGUUUUUAUUUCACAGAAGAGAAAAUCUACAGCAACUUGACGCGAGUGGUGGUCGCAGUUUGGCUCUUUGUUGUACUGAUCCUGACCUCAAGCUACACCGCUAAUCUCACUUCAAUGCUCACCGUUCAGCGACUGAAACCGAAUGCAACAUACAUCGACACCGACUCGAAAGUUGGUUGCGACGGGGACUCAUUUGUCAUUGAGUACCUGCGGAAUGUCCUUGGAUUCAAAAAAAUCAUCGAAGUGAAAAGUGAAUACGACUACCCGAAAGAAUUCAAAAACAAAACUAUAGAGGUCGCCUUUCUUGAACACCCAUAUGCAGAAGUCUUCAUUAAUGAGAACUGCAUAGGAUAUACUGCCACUGCACCCACCUAUAGAUUUGGAGGCUUGAGCUUUGUGAGUAAUGAAUAAAUUGUUCACAUUCUAUUUCUUUCUGCACGUACAAAAUACAAAAAUAUGCAUAAAUAGAACUGGUUACAAACUUUUGGUCGAAAAUAUCUCAAUAGAAGUUACCAUAUUUCUGACCAACAUAGCGAAACUAAAAAAAUCGCUUUCGUGUUCACCUCGCAGAUAUUCCAGAGAGGUUCUCCAAUAGCGCGUGAUUUCACAAAGGCGAUUCUAGAGCUGUUGGAGAAUGGAGAUGUGAAGAAGCUACAAAAUGAAUGGUUGACUCCCAAGGAGUGUCCAAGAAAUACAACUUUGAACGAACCAGAAAGCUUGACCCUCAACAGUUUUUCAGUCCUCUAUGAAAUAUCAGCUGCUACUUCCACCUUAUGUUUUCUGCUCUCUUUUACUAUCCGGCUGAGGAGGUUUCAGCAUCAAGAGGCAGCAGAACAAGGCAGUGCAAGUCCGUGCGCGAGCGGAGAAACGCUUUGGAACAAGGCAGUUAGAAUGGCAAAAUUUUUUUGCAAUAGAGAGAUUAAUGUUCCAACCAGAGCUCCAACUUUAGCACAUUACGCAGAAGAAUGGAGUUCUCCAAGGUGGGAGCCACUGGCAAAGCUACAUAGGAGCAAGGAGGGGCGGCCGCCCCUCCGGUCGUCGGAAAUCGCCAUGAAAGCAAGAAUUCGGCCCCUCCGAUCUUUCUGAACCUACUGAAAUCUGGGGGCGCUGUGCUACUGAGUUUUAAUUUUAUUGAUGUGGUCUUCUUUUAGAAACGCACUACCAGCGCACCAUUUUAAUUCUCUUCCCUCUCUCUCAUUUGUUUAGACUAUAGAAAUACAAAAGGUUGAUGUUUGUUAUUGUUCUUUUUCAAUCCUUGUUAUUACUUCUAGUAUUUAAAAUUAUAAUACAAAAGAUUGAUGUUUGUUAUUGUUUUUUCUCUAUUCUUGUUAUUAUUUAUAUUUAAAAUUAUUUUAUAUUUUGUUCUUUAAUUCUUGAGAAAUGAUGAUUUUGAGAACUUGAUUCAGAUACACAAAACUUUUGUGAGGAAAAUGAUAUUAGUGUUCUUAUUAUGUGAGAGAUGUUUUUGCUUUUAUUGAGAGAAAUGUUUAUAUUGCAAUAGAUGUACAACAAUUGUGUGAUAGUUUGAUUUUUAUAUUGAGAUGCUUUUAUUGAUAAUGAGUCUAUUAUGCGACCGUUUCAGAACAUGAAGCAUUGCCGGCAACAAUUGCAAGAUGUUUGUAUUGAUAAAUUAUUAACGACAUUAAUAUUGUCUAUUAUCUAAAAGAAUUUGAUUGCCUACAUUUUUUUUGGAAUCUAUUAUGCUUUUAAAUUUCGCCCCUCCCCUCGAAAAUUCCUGACUUCGCCACUAGUGGGAGCACUCUACCACUUCAAGUUCCACUACUACCCGAGCAUCCUCAUCAGACCAAAAAUCCACCAGAAAUUGAAUGCCUUACAAUCCAAUCCAAUACAACACGCCUAAACCAAAAUCAACCCAACCGGUUCAAUUCCCGUGACUUUACUAGCUAAAAUGCCCGCGCGAUGCUGCGGGUUGUAAAACUGUGUUAAACGUGUGAAAUAUAUUAAAAUCUAUUUGUAUUCUCAUCAAAAUCUAAAAAUCAUCCAAAGUGUAUUUGCAUAUCACAAAAUAUAAAAUGUCUUGAGUAAAUAUAGAAAAUCUUAAAUGCAUUUGGGCACACGUACCAUUUGAACAAUAGGGAUAGGGUUCUUGGUAUGCUGCAACCAGUAAAGUAGCUAGGUGCAAAUAUCAUCCAUAUUUUCCCAUCUAUAUUAUGAAAUACUUAUUGUUCAAAAUACUCUAGCAACCUUUAUACAACAUAUUGGUUGACCAAUCAAUUUUUCAAAUAUUGAUCCGAGUAGUACAAAAGUAUGUAAUCUCACAUCUAGGAUUGCCCAUCCCUAUAUAUACAGCAAAAUAGCUAUACAACUCCAUCAUUGCAAGUACUCAUAUCAUCUUUCAUUACAUCCCUGACAAAAAAAAGAAAAAAAAGAAAAAGAAAAAAGUGAUUCAAAAAUAUAUUUUAAAGUAGACUUUCAAUCCCCCCCGCCUGGUUCGUUUGCCUAAUCCCUAAGCCCACUCAAAACAUAGAAGAGUUGGACAGUUGGGUCUUAACCUUAAGCACACUCACAUACAAUAUAGUUUGUCUCUCGGAUCACAUUCGUUUAAUGGAUUUUUUGUUAGCCAGAUAUAAAAAAUAAAAAAAUAUUGGGUAAAGCAGUUGACACAUGACAUGACGGUAUUUAUAAUAGUUAAUUAGUUUGGACAUGUAUAAGUAUUGAUGAAGAUUUUUGAUUUUUCGUUUUAAUUUCUGUUGCAGCUGAAGAGUUGAUAAAGGAAAAGAAUGUAGAAGUAAUAGUUGGGAUGGAGACAUGGCAGGAAGCAGCUCAAGUAGCUGAUCUUGUCGGAAACAAGGCUCAAAUUCCGGUGAUUUCAUUUGCAGCACCCUCUAUAACCCCACCACUAAUACAACGCCGAUGGCCAUCUUUGAUACGAAUGGCAACAUAUGGUUCUGUUCCGAUAAAAAUGCAUUGCGGAUAUAGUUUCAGCCUACCAUUGGAAAAGGGUAGUUGUGGUAUACGAAGAUGAUGGCUAUGGCGGCGAUGUUGGGAUGCUAGCUCUUUUGACCGAGGCCCUUCAAGAUGUCGGUUCAAAGAUUGAGCACCGUUUGGUUCUUCCGCAGAUUUCUUCGCUGUCUAAUCCAAACGGGGUCGAGCUAGAAGAUGUUGAGGCUUCCCACCAUGCAUUCUCGGUUGUUUAUCAUUCUCCAGUCAUCGUUGCCUACGGUGACUAAUCUAUUUCGAUUGGCUGGAAAGAUGGGACUUGUUGGAAAAGAGUCAGCUUGGAUCAUCACCGAGAGUAUUGCAAGUUUGCUUGACCCUCAACACACCUCUGACAUGAAAGGCACUCUGGGAAUCAAGACCUACUAUGCCAAUAAUACUAGUUCUUAUACAAAUUUCCGGAAGAAAUUCCAAACGAAGUAUUCAGAAGGAAAUAGCGCCCAGCCAGGAAUUUACGCUCUUCGAGCAUAUGAUGCUAUUGGAAUCAUUUCACAGGC
rnacentral:lncRNA from 1 species